rnacentral:rRNA from 1 species
UACGGAGAGUGCGAACGUUGUUCGGAUUCACUGGGCGUAAAGGGCACGUAGGCGGCUCAGCAAAUCAGUCGUGGAAUCCCGACGCUUACCGUCGGAACGGCGGCUGAAAAUACUGAACUAGAGGGCGUGAGGGGUCACUGGAACUCCCGGUGAAGCGGUGAAAUGCGUAGAUAUCGGGAGGAACGCCGGAGGCGAAAGCGAGUGACUGGCGCGUUCCUGACGCUGAGGUGCGAAAGCUAGGGGAGCAAACAGG